rnacentral:lncRNA from 1 species
AAAGGAGGUGACCGCAAGAAAAAGAAGAAAAAAGAUAGGUAGGGAAGUGUGCAAAACUGAAAAAUAGAAAAAUAAAUAAAAAAAAGUAGCAGAAAUUCACUACUAAUAUUCGGCAAAGGAAGGAGAACAGUUGAUAGAAAAUUGAGAGGAAACAAAAGCUAAAGCCGAAUUGUAGGAAAAGAAUCAAUUUCGGCACCACUACUGAUCACCUACCUUGAUCCACUCCUCAAGACUCUCUUACAAUCCCUCCACAAACCAUCCACUUCCCACCACACCUUAAAUUCCUUAUUUUCCUCCACCAAUCCCACAACUAUCGAAAUCUCCCUCAUUAUCCUCCAAAAAAUCGGCCACAACCUCUCCACACUUCUCAAAUACUCAGAAUUUUAGUCAAACUACAACAUCCACACGACACAAACAGUGAAAAUAAAUCCCUUAAUCGCAUAGAGAUUUGAACACAAGACCUUUAGCAUAUUUAC